rnacentral:rRNA from 1 species
UACGGAGGGUGCAAGCGUUAAUCGGAAUUACUGGGCGUAAAGGGCUUGUAGGCGGUUAUAUAAGUUGGAUGUGAAAUCCCCGGGCUUAACUUGGGAACUGCAUUCAAAACUGUAUGACUAGAGUGUCGUAGAGGAUGAUGGAAUUUUCUGUGUAGCAGUAAAAUGCUUAGAGAUUGAAAGGAACACCAGAGGCGAAGGCGAUCAUCUGGGCGACAACUGACGCUGAGGAGCGAAAGCGUGGGGAGCAAACAGG